rnacentral:lncRNA from 1 species
CUGAUAUGUCGAGUCCUCAUACAUGCGGCAUAUGACAGUCCAAUCCUUGAUAUUGAUACUGUCAUAUGGCUACUGCUGCGCUACCUCCAUCCUCUAAUCCUGUACUAUAGCAGACUAGUGGUGAUGAAUACGAUGUCGAUAAUCCUUAAAAUGCAAGCAUAGAUGAUCAUUCACAGCUCGUCGGACAUAAUUGUGCUCAAAAUCAGCAAUAUCAAAUAUAGCCCGCCAAUAACAAAUAUUAUAAUAAUAUAGUGCUAAUUAAAUAUUUUACUAAAUAUUAUUUUACCUAUAAGUGGCUAUAGAAGAUCUUCCUCUAAGCCGAUGUAACGUGACGCU